UCAUCUGACCAGAGCACCUUCCACAUGUUAUCCGUGCCCCACAUGUUGUCGUGUUUGGAGGUCAGCAAAGUGCCUCGCUGCAGAUAAACGGUCAGAGUUCUUUAAUGAAGCAAAUAGAAAAACUUACAGAUGGGUGAGACACAAGCAGAACGAGGCACACAGCACAGGCAGAGAAACGGUGGAAUGGAGUAUGAGGCAAAAAUGGAAGAAAGCAGCGUGCAAAUACACCGAGGGGGAAGUGAAGACUGACACAGAAUGCAGAAGAAAUGUUUGGGAGAGGACAAACACAGUGAUGAUGGGGAGACUGGAAGUUGCAUCACUAGCAGUGAAAUCUGCUUGUUGUAAUCGGAGAUUCCCUUGAGGAGAGACAUGCAAGAAGGAGCACCUUCAAACCAAUACAGGCAGUUUUGUAAUGCUCAUGCUGCGGUCUCCCAGUACUAUUUAUUGCUGUCGCCCGCCUGCCUGGUACCACUUUGGACUCACCAUUAGGCCAGACAUCUCCAAAUCCCAAUGAAUAACUCAAGUUAUCCAACAAGAUGGUGCCAUGGAUGACAGUCUUUGUGUGUGAGCAGUGUGCAAUCACUUCCUCUAGAGAGGAACUCCCAAACAUCAGACAAUACUCUCUAGGAGUUUUCUUUUCUCCAUUUCUCGCUGACCUCAACUUUAAUGAGAUCUUUGCUAGUAGUGCAGCGGUACUCUAUGGAUGGUACAGAAGCAGCAAGUGUGAUAGGAAGAUGAAAGUAGUGCUUGAAGAGUUGAUGAAUGAGAAAAAUAAGAGAGAACAAAAAGCAGAAGUGACCAUUGUAGAACAGGAAGUAGCAAAGAUUAAUAAGGACGAAGUAAAGGAGACAUUGAAAAGGAUAAGGAUGGACAAGGCAGUUGGGCCUGAUGAUAGACCUUUGGAGGUAUGUAAUGCCCCUUCUCCAUACACGUUUUCUCCCCUGCACCACUCUACAUCUCUUCUCCACUGUACUACUGUUGGUUUCCCACAGUCCCGUUAAGGCCAAAGGGUUGGUGAACACCUCCUGGGAGUGGCUUUUGGCCCCUCAUGCAGCGGUCAGUGCUUUGCGCCCUGCUGAUUUAAGGCAUUGCUGUGUGGCAUUAACUCUAAAGAAACUGUAGAAUCUAAA